rnacentral:lncRNA from 1 species
CAAACCCCAGUAUAGGCUUGAGAAUAUAAAGGUAUUAGACACGACUCUGUCAAGUGCUAGCCAAGUGAUCUCAAGAAAUAUCUGAAGUUUGGGUUUCUUAACUGUAAAAUCAGAUUAAAAUGUCUUCCCAUAUAUAGUUAAGAAUCCUAUUGCAGCAUGCUGGGUAGCUGUGGAGGCCUGGGUUUGAUCCCUGGUCCGGCAGUGGGUUAAAGAAUCUGCAGUUGCCAGAGCUACAGCUCGGGUAAAAGCUGUGGCUUGGACUCAAUCUCUGGCCCAGGAACUUCCAUAUGCCUCAGGUACGACCUUAAAAAAAAAAAAAAAAAAAAAAAUUAAAUUAAAAAAAAGACUUCAUCUUUUUCCCAGGAUAAAUGAGGAUUUAAUAAAUAUAAAUAGAGCAUAACAUAGACCUAUAAAGUUGUUUUUCCACUGACUAGAGUGGGUUUUUAUUUCUGAAUAAAUUUUAAAUGGUUAAGAAUCUCUCAGGUGAAGCUGAGUAGGAUAUAAUUCCAUCAUAACCACCAAUUAAUCGGUGUGUGUGCUUUGGGAAAAUGAUGCCAAAUGAAGAGGAAAUAGAUGAGUCUUCUUCACAUGGGGAAAGGAGCUAAACCUCACUGCUAAGUUUCAGGCCCAAAUCUCUGGCCAAGGAUUAAGCUUUGGUAUUUUGUGGACAAUAUUUGCUACUUCCUAAUUUUUACUCUACAUCUCAAACUCUCUAAUGUAGGAGACAAGGAUCCAAAUGUCUAAAGAUCUCUCAUUCUCUCUUCCUCUUUUUCUCCCUCUCUCUAAAAAUAAACCCAGAAGUAUCAACAGAAGGUGGUAGGCAAGUGUUCACACUUCUACAAAAAAUGAACAUUAAUUAAGUCAAGCCAAAAAAAAAAAAAAAAUCCCUAAUAUUUACAUUCCUCAAAAUUGCACUUGGUAGGUAUUUUUUCUUUUUUUUUUUUUCUCUCUACUUUUCUUUACAGAAUAAACAUUUUUUUUCUGUUUGAAUGCCUGAGAAAAUUAAGUGAGAUCUGGGAUGCAAGAAAAUGAAUGUGUGUUAUUUUCCCCUUUACCUCUAUGAAGGCAGUAUAAUACUGGUAACCCAAAUAUCUAGACACUGGGAUCCCUGUGUUAAUUCACUCCUAAAAUAUCCCAGUAUUAGUGCCAUACCAAAUGCAUUUGUUCUGACCAGGAAGAAGCUCAGAGCAGUCAAAACUAUGAUGAAAAACCAUGAAAAAGGAAGAGGAGGAAGUGCUUUCAUCUUAAAAAGAGCACCUCAAUGUGCAAAAAAAAAACCCUGAAGCCUAUCAGCCCAACCACAUGCCAACCUGCAGUUGGUGAGAUCAGAGAACUUCCUCCUACUGUUUAAAUCUAUUCCUAACUACCCUACUUAAAGGAAGAAAACAGAAAAAUAUAAAUUGGUGUGUGUGUGUGUAGAAACAUACAUUUUUUUAAUGCGUAUUUACUGAUUUUCUACUCUAAGCAAAGCACUGCUAGGCAGAGUUACCUUGAGAGGUAACUCUGUGGCAGAGGUUUCCUUCUAGGAAAGCCAUUAGAUGGAACAAUGGGCCAAUAUUCCCGCCCAUCUCCCAGCCCUGCAGGCUGUAACCUGAAGCAGAUAGAGCCUUCCCUAAGGGUUAGAGAAUCCUCUGCACUUCAUCCACUUCAGGGUUGCAAUCUAGUCUCUGCCCUUCCACCCUCUAACCCUUAGAGCCUUCCCUAAGGGUUAGAGAAUCCUCUGCACUUCAUCCACUUCAGGGUUGCAAUCUAGUCUCUGCCCUUCCACCCUCUCCCCAGGACACCCGUCCACUCAGAGUUCUGUAGCAUCUCCUAUAUAAACCACCUGUGACUGCUCAAGCUCAGGCUCAAGCUCAAGCUCUCUUCUUUGCUGCUAGAAUAGCCUUUCCCUUCCCACCCCCGAACCCUGCACUUCACCUCCCAAAGGAGUCUCCCCCUGUUCCCCUCACACUGCCUCCCACAGCAACUGGACCUUGCUCCUGCCCAUCAGCCCAGGAGACACUGUCUUUGUGGCCGUGCUGUGUUUUCCAUCAUUCUCCCUAGCUCCACUGAGAGCCCCAGGAGGCAAGAGGGCUGUGUCUUUAUUUUCCGUGCCCUCAGAGCCAAGGGCAGAAAUACUCAAGAACUCUUAGGCUUGAAAUAAAUAGAAUUCUAAAAGACAAUCUGUGCUGAGUGUCUUCAGAGGGACCACCAAGGAUCUGUACAGGUCCAGUGGAAGGAGAGAGAGGAAAGCACCUGUGAAGGUACAGGAAGGAUUCCUUCCACUGGCCUUGAGAACUAGCAGAGCCAAGAAAGAGAUCACCAGAUUCCAAAACCUCAUAAAGGCACAGGGGGUAAAUGUUCCUACAAGUGCCAACAGAAACCCUUAGCUAAAUAAACAGCAAAGUGAGAUUAACAAAACAAAAAUAAACCUUUUCAAAAACAAAUAGUGUGUGAGCUACAGCUUUAAGCUUAUUAUUUUUAAAGGUUUUUGUUUGUUUGUUUUUUAGGGCCACACCCACAGCAUAAGGAAGUUCCCAGCUCGAAUCGGAGCCUCAGCUGCCAGCCUACACCACAGCCACAGCCAGGCAGGAUUCAGUUGCGUCUGCGACCUACAUCACAGCUCAGAGCAACACCAGAUCCUUAACCCACUGAGCGUGGCCAGGGAUAGAACCCAAGUCCUCAGGGACACUAGUCGGGUUUGUUACCGCUGAGCCACAACAGGAAAUCCAGGCUUGUAAACUUAUUUUUAAAGGGACAUAGGACAGAGGUUAUGAAUCAUUAGGAAUGUCUGCUCUAUGAAGCAACAACGUACUGGCUAAAUACAAGACCUUUGAAUUCACACAAUUUUACUUCAAAUUUUGGUUCUGCCAUUUGAUAGCUGUUAGAAUGGCUACCAUCAAAAAGACAAGAUAAACGCUGGUGAGGACAUGGAGAAAAGGGAACUCUUGUGCAUUGCUGGUGGGAAUGUAAAAUGGUGCAGCCACUAUGGAAAACAGUAUAGAGGUUCCUCAAAAAAAUUAAAAACAGAACUGCUGUAUGUUCCAGUUCUGGGAUUAUUUCCAAAGGGAAAGAAAACACGAACUUGAAAAGGUAUCUGCACCCCCAUGUUCAUGCAGCAAUAUUUACAAUAACCAAGGCAUGGAAACAUCUAUUGACAGAUGAUGGAUAAAGGAUAUUUAUCCAUUGUGUCAUACACACACACAUGUACACACACCCACAUACAUCCACACAAUGGAAUAUUAUUCAGCCAUUAAAAACGAGGAAAUGCUGCCAUUUGCUACAACACAGAUAGACCUUGAGGGCAUUAUGCUAAGUGAAAUAAGUCAGAGAAAGAAAAAUACCAUACGAUCUCACUUACAUGCGGAAUCUAAAAAAUUUUUAAUACACUCUCCUUCAAAACAUUGAGGAGGUGGUGGGAAGUAGUGCGGAACCAAGAGCGGUGACACUUGCUUAAAGUGCACUUCACUGGCUGUUUCACUACAGAGUCUGAAUGUUGCUUUUGUUGAAUUCCCAACAGAGGCAAGCCAUAAGCUCAACUGGGACAUGGACCCAGGGUGGUCCCCUAUCCUUCAUAUUAAGUGCUCUUAAGUGCUCUUCACCCAAAUUCCACAUGCCUUCACGCUGUCUCAGAUUCCUUCUGUCUGCCAUAGAAUAAAAUAAUUUGGACAAUUUGUUCAUAUUAAAGUGUUAGUAACUCUUCUCUAAGAUGUUAGAAGUAAGAAGAAAGAUGUUCCUACUCAGAGUUGAGGUAGAAGAGAGGGUAACAAUUAAACAAAGGGAUUACUUUCUUAUGGUGGAAUUUCAGACAAUGUGGCAGACAGAAGAUAGAAGGAAAGAUCUUACUAUCUCAGGGUGACCUGUGGUUUUCCCAAAUACAAAACUUGUUGCAACUACCUGUGCUGCUCAUGCACAAAACCUCCUGGCUGCCAGGAGGAUGUGCCUCUGAGAUCCGUAACUGAGGGAGGGUAAUUGCCUGCUGGCCGAGUUGAAAUGAAUCCACUCCUACAUUGGCACCAAGGCCAUGCUACACACAGGCUGGACAACAGGGCAGGCAGUCCUGUGAAACCCAGGAUGCUUUCCAUGGGAAGUUUUGGCUUGAGCUCCCCCCAUCAGCCUGGCUGAACCUUUCUUCAACUUGUGCCACCAUCUGAGACUCUUUCUACCCAACCUUUUUUUCUUCUUGUCUCCUCCCCCAGAGCGCAGACUUGUAUCACCGUCUGGUAGCUCAUCCAGCCUCUUCCAAUUUCCUCCCGUCUUCCACAGGGCACAUUCCCCAUUGUAUUCCUUGCACGUCCAACCUUCUCUUGACAUCUGCUUCUUGGAGGAGCCAAACUAACAUAUCUAUUUAAUCCCUAGGUCCUGCAAACCUGAUGGAGCAAAUGUCUCUAGGGUCCACAUCACAUCCCUCAGCCCACCUGUGAGCUCACAGUAUCCCACCUGCAAAAAGAGCCAAGGUUUCCACUUUAACUCAGAGCCUCCCCCAACACCAUAAGGACCUCUGACCCUGAAUGUAAGUACCAACCUGACAGGCAGGGGUGGUUACCUCCCCAGGGGAAGGUAACCAAGUCCUUGCCCCAGGUUCUACUUUCAGGGAAAUACAAACCAAAACACCUGAGAUGUGAGUUAGAGCAAAGCAGUCAUGUUACAAAACUCUUCUUUGAGAAAAUAAUGCUGAGUGUCCAUAUGGAGUCCGCUACUUUAAAAUAUUCUGUAUUUAACUGUCCCAUACCCAUAGAAACAGUCCCUCCCCAAAGGGUGUGGUAGCCAGCCCCCAAGAUGGCCCCGACUGAUGGUCACCUCCUGAUAAUCAUGCCAUUGUGCAGUCCCUCCUCCUGAGUAAGAGUAGAAUAAAGGAGAAGCAACAACGUGUGACUUCCAAGUCUAGGCCGUACACGUCACUGCAGUUCCACCUUGGUCUCCUGGAUCACUCACUCAAGGGGAAGGUGGCAGUCAUGUUGUGAGGACACUCAGGCGAUCCCAUGGAGAGGCUCAUGUAAAGAUGCACUGAGGUCUCCUGCCAACAGCCCGUGCCAACUUGCCAGACAUGUGAGUGGAAGUGGACUCUCCAGCGCAGUUGGGCCUUUGGAUGACCUUAGCCUCAGCAGACAUCUGACUCCAACUUCAUGAGAAGUCUUGAGCCAGAAUCACCCAGCUAAGCUGCUCCUGAACUCCAGACCUUCAGAAAUGGUGAACAUAAAUGAUGAUUCUCUUUUAAGCUAUGUGUUGGGGUGAUUUGUGUUCUAGUGAUACAUAAAUUAAAAGGGAUAUUCUGAGUGUCCUCACAACUUUUCAUACAGAAGCUCAUUAAUACUCACCACAAUAUUAUGAGGUAAAGUGCUUUUAAGUAGCCCCAUACUGGAAAGAAAGAAGGAAGGAAGGGAGACAGUAGGAAGGAAGUGGGGAGGGAGGAAGAAAAAAAGAAAACAAGCCACUGAGAAAUUAGCCAGGGCCACUCACUAAGAAGUAGAUGAGCAGGGGUGGAAACUAAGCUGUCUGGUUCGAAAGUCUGUGCUCUUAGCCACCACACUGCCUUGCCUGGGUGUGGGAGUUGCCUUAAGAAGAAAAUAUUUGUGUUUCUUAGCUUAUUCUGAGUAAUACUUUGUACUCAAAAAAACUCCCUCUCAGUCUUGGCAUUUACACAUUGUACUUUUUUAGAAGCUGACUCCAGUUCAGGACAUGAUUUUUGACUUGGAGUAAACAUUACUUUCUUCCAGAAAACACAUUUCUAAUCCUAUAAAAUGUCAUUAGGAAAAAAUAUUCUGUGAUCAAAGCAUCACUUCACCACCAAACUAUAGACUCUGCAAAGCAAGGCAUACACCUCUUCUCCCAUCAGCAAUGUCCUUACUGGAUAUAUGGGAUAUU